GAUCGGCGUUCCCCUUCGGGGGACAGGGUGACAGGUGGUGCAUGGUUGUCGUCAGCUCGUGUCGUGAGAUGUUGGGUUAAGUCCCGCAACGAGCGCAACCCUCGACCUUAGUUGCCAGCAUUCAGUUGGGCACUCUAAGGUGACUGCCGGCUAAAAGUCGGAGGAAGGUGGGGAUGACGUCAAAUCAUCAUGCCCCUUAUGACCUGGGCUACACACGUGCUACAAUGGGCGGUACAAAGGGUCGCGAACCCGCGAGGGGGAGCCAAUCCCAAAAAGCCGCUCUCAGUUCGGAUUGCAGGCUGCAACUCGCCUGCAUGAAGCCGGAAUCGCUAGUAAUCGCGGAUCAGCAUGCCCGCGGUCCGAAUACGUUCCGGGCCUU
rnacentral:rRNA from 1 species